rnacentral:tRNA from 1 species
CGGACUGUAGUAUAGUGGCAGUAUACACGCUUCGGGAGUGUGAGGCCUGGGUUCGAUUCCCAGCAGUCCGA